AUUGAACGCUGGCGGCAGGCCUAACACAUGCAAGUCGAACGAGUGGCGGACGGGUGAGUAAUGUCUGGGAAACUGCCUGAUGGAGGGGGAUAACUACUGGAAACGGUAGCUAAUACCGCAUACCAUCGGAUGUGCCCAGAUGGGAUUAGCUAGUAGGUGGGGUAAAGGCUCACCUAGGCGACGAUCCCUAGCUGGUCUGAGAGGAUGACCAGCCAAACUGGAACGGAGCCCCGGUCCAUGCUCCUACGGGAGGCAGCAUUGGGGAAUAUUCCCCAAUGGGCGCAAGCCUGAUGCAGCCAUGCCGCGUGAAUGAAGAAGGCCUUCGGUUUGUAAAGUACUUUCAGCGGGGAGGCGUUACCCGCAGAAUAAGCCCCUGCUAACUCCGUGCCAGCAGCCGCGGUAAUAC
rnacentral:rRNA from 1 species